UAUAGGCCUUGAGUAUUUUCAAAAUAGGAAGGAACCGACAAUUUCGGCGAGGUGGCGAAUUUCAGCCAAGAGACCACAGAAAGAAAUAUGGAAAUGUCCAAACGAGGAGGCAUAUGGCGAUCACAAAUCAUUAUUUAUUAUUUAGGCAGAUCCAGUUAGUUAACUACAUUAUGUCAUUCAAACUGCGAAAACAUAGGAAGAAACGU